AUUGAACGCUGGCGGCAGGCCUAACACAUGCAAGUCGAGCGGAUGAGGGAAGCUUGCUUCCCGAUUUAGCGGCGGACGGUUGAGUAAUGCCUAGGAAUCUGCCGAUUAGUGGGGGAUAACGUUCCGAAAGGAACGCUAAUACCGCAUACGUCCUACGGGAGAAAGUGGGGGAUCUUCGGACCUCACGCUAAUAGAUGAGCCUAGGUCGGAUUAGCUAGUUGGUGAGGUAACGGCUCACCAAGGCGACGAUCCGUAGCUGGUCUGAGAGGAUGAUCAGCCACACUGGAACUGAGACACGGUCCAGACUCCUACGGGAGGCAGCAGUGGGGAAUAUUGGACAAUGGGCGAAAGCCUGAUCCAGCCAUGCCGCGUGUGUGAAGAAGGUCUUCGGAUUGUAAAGCACUUUAAGUUGGGAGGAAGAGUUGUAAGCUAAUAUCUUGCAGCUUUGACGUUACCAACAGAAUAAGCACCGGCUAACUCUGUGCCAGCCGCCGCCGUAAUAC
rnacentral:rRNA from 1 species